ensembl:lncRNA
UUGAUUUGAGAAACCAAGCAUAAGCAGGAGAGUGACAAUCAAAAGUAAGUAAGCCAGGGGUGAUAGAAAAAGAACACCAAGACAAGGAACACAUGAGUCUUGAAAGAAUUGUGAGCCACACAGUCCUGUUUCAUCUCUGAUGGAGCUUGGAAUGUUAGGGGAAGGGAUUUGAAGACCUGACAGGAGGAUAUUGCAAUAGUGAGGGAUGGAAUGGAUUUAUGCGUACCUAGCGGUAGUAGGAAGAGAGACUAGGUAAUGGCAUCAAUAGUUAUUCAGAAGGUAAGAAUCCACAAUCCCCACAUUUCUGGUUUGAGCAACUGGAUGGUAAUCCCUUUCUUUUUCUUAAAUUUAUUUUUAUUUUUUAUUUAUUUUUUUGCUCUUUAGGGCCGUACUCACAGCAUAUGGAGGUUCCAGUCUAGGGGUGGAAUCAGAGCUGUAGCUCAGCCCACGCCACAGCCACAGCAAUGCAGAAUCCAAGCCGCAUCUGCAACCUACACCCCGGCUCAUGGCAAGGCCUGAUUCUUAACCCACUGAGCAAGGCCGAGGAUCAAACCUGCAUCCUCAUGGGUGCUAGUCAGAUUCGUUAACCACUGAGCCAUGACGGGAACUUUCCUUAGGAUAUGGAAUAUGGGAAAGAGUGAGGUGGAGAGAAGAGAUCGGGAUAACUUUCAGGAGCACAUUCAGGCAGAGAAGUCCGACAGACAGAUGGAUAUACCAUAGAUCCCAGAGGAGAAAAAUGGGUACAAGAUAGAAAAAUUCUGGCAUUGAUAAGAUUACUUUUAGAGAAGACAAAUUUUAGGGAAUAUAAAAAGGCAUCAGUAAUCUACGGAGUAGGGGUGCCAGAGGAACGAGCAAUAAGAGAUGAGAAGAAAUGGCCAGUGGGCAGGAAGAGAUGCUGAAAAGCCUGGUGUCCCAGAAACCAAGCACAGAGAAUUUUAAGAAGAAAGGAGCGGUUAUAGCAGCAGAAAUGGACACAGCAGGAGUUCCCGUCAUGGCUCAGUGAUAAUGAACCUGACUAGUACCCAUGAGGAUGUGGAUUAGACCCCUGGUCUCGCUCAGUUAAGGAUCCAGCAUUUCCGUUUGCUGUGUGGUGUAGGUCGCAGACGUAGCUCAGACCCCGAGUUGCUGUGGCUAUGGCUGUGGCCAGCAGUUGCAGCUCCGAUUGGAUCCCUCGCCUGGGAACUUACAUAUACCGUGGGUGCAGCCCUAAAAUAUAAUAAUAACAAAAAAGACCAAAAAAAUUACCCCACAGAAAUAGGUGCAACGUUGUCAAUGAGGAGGGAGGGAGAGAAGGAGGAGGAAGAAGAGAAGAAAGGAGAUGUGAAGGAUGAAAGUGACAAAGAGAGCUUAAGUAAUAAGGGGUCACGAUGUGAAGAGGCACUAGUAGAACUGAAUAAGAAACUCUACUGUGCUAACCUAAAGGCUUCUACAGGUAUCUGGCCUUUUAGAUCAAAGCUGAAUUCUUGGUGAUCUAUUUAUUUUGUUCUUAUAUCUUCAAGAAUUUUAUCAUUUUUACCCACCUGUUUUAUCCCAGCACUAUCCAUUUAGAAUUUAAACUUAAGAAUUUCUAAGUUCAGCAUGGAUCCGAGACACAAACAUUGACGUUUUAAAAGUUUGUCUUUACCACCCAAUAUUCUUUUUCUUAAUUUUCUCUCUCCCCUCCAAGCCUUGCCUGCAUACUUUUCCUCUGACUUCAGGCUCUUGUUCAUCCCGUCUGACCUCAGCUUUCCUACAUGAGAAAUGAUUCUUAGGAAGGAACUUUAUAAGCAAAUAUCUUAUCUUGAAGCCAAAGAUGGUUUCUCUCCCAGGAGGACAGGGGAGAAAAUGUUAAAUGUCCUUGUUGGAUGUUUCAGGGUGGAAUGUCAGAAAAUGGUGGAGAGAUCUCUGGCCAGGAAGACUUUUCCAAUGCCAUUCUCAGGUGACCUUUCACCAUGAGGCAAUCCCCUCUUGAAGGAGAAGAUAUGGAGGUACAAGAAUGCCUCAUUUUUCCCCCUAAAGCCACACUAAACUUUCACAAGAUUGAAAGGUCACAAACAUUUAUUAUAGAAGUACUGUUCUUUUUGGAAAUUAUAUUUUUGGCUGAUAGUAUUUCAAUGUACUUAGUUGCUAACAUAAUAGCCAAGGAACACAUAUCCUUUAUCUUGUUUAAUGCCAAUUACUCUGUCACUAUUUUGCUCAGAGCUAUUGGAAUAACUUCAAAUGUGGUUUGGGACAGACAAGUUCAAGUCUACAGAGGCCAUAUUUCCAUGUCCACUGAAUCAGCUGUUUCCUAUUGCAUUUUUUAAGGCAAUAUUAAUGACUGACUUCUAUACAGCCAAGUAGCUUGAUCAUGCUUUUAAUUUAAUUCAGUUGUUCAGGAAAGGGAAACAAUCCCAUUAAUCACUUUUAAAGAUGCAGUUUAUGCAUAUGAUAUAGAUACUGUGCUUCCUGAAACUGUCUUUGCUGAAGUUUUUUUGAUUAGAAGAGAAAGAGUAGCUCAGUGAGCGAAACAUUUAAUUGUUAUGAACUUCGUUUCUAAAAGUAAAGAUAAGUGACAGGAGGAUUUGCUUGUUCCAAUACAUAAUGGGAAACAAUAUUAACUUUUGCUCAGUAUAUCACUUAAAAUGUGUUAUACUUUCAUGGGUAUGUUUGUAUCUCCUGUAAAUUAAUUAAAUGCUCUCCAUCCUCUCUUUACAUUUAAGCCUCAGAUAACAAGGAUCCUAAUAAAGGAAUUGUGUAAAAGUAUUCUCUUACUGAGAGAGAGGGGGAAGUGGACAAGCCCAACAUCUCACCAGCAAAGGCCCAGCACCAGAGGCAUGUGUGGGUCCCGGCCAUAAAGCUAACCAAUAAGUUCCUGAAGGGAAGAAGCAGUAGAUUAGCAAUGCUUUCCAUUUAAGAUCAAUUAUGUUUCAUAAGAAACACAGAUGGAAGAUCUUUAGCACAACCCUUAAUAGUCUGACUAGAAUAAAUUGGGUGAACUGGUAAUAGCUAGAUUAUUUAAGGAAAAAUACUCUCUAAGACAUAGAAGCAUUACUCCAAAGGAAUGAUGAGAACUUGAUCAUGAGGGGGAAAAAAAGAACUAGGCAUAGAUAUGUAAGAAUAGAAAUAAUCUGCUCAGGGCCUGGUGUGAUUUUAUUUUCUCUGAGGUGCUGUCAAGGACCAUUAAAUAGAAGAGGCAUUUAUAGAAUCAUAAGACUGUCAGAGCUGAAAGGGUCAGCUCUAGUCCAGUCCCCUAAUUUUACAGGUGAGAAAACCCAGGCUCAUAUAUACACGGGUGAUAAUACUCUGUGAAUUCUGCCAGAGGACAGGCAGUCUGGGAGUAAUGAAGACCUAGAACUAGACCGACAAACUUGGGUGGAGGUGGGGGAGGAAAGAGGGGCUGGCUUCCAGAAAGGAAGCCCAGUCUCCUGGAAAGGACAUGGUAUAUGAAGCGUACAGCAGCAGAGACAAUGUUGGAUCCCAGGAAAGCAGUUUCCGCUGGAAGGGCUGAGGCACCAGGAGAAUUUUGUUGGGUGGACAGCAUAUAGCUGGUCCUGUAGGGCCAGCAGGGGGGACUGGAAAAAUCCAAGGAGGUAGUGAAUCCUGAGCAGGUAACUUGCAUCUUAGGUAUUCAUUUUCAAUCCAAAGGCAGGUGUCCCAUCCCUGGGAAGAAAGGAAUCUUCACAAGGGCAAGACAGGGCUUCAAUCCCUGAAAGAUAUAUAACUGGAAUGCCAAUUAAGUUCAAAGUAUAUAAUCAGCAUUGAAUUAACUGGAUGUUCAAGAUGUGUAUUUGCAGCUUUAGAGCAAAAGAAAUUCUUAGUAUCUGGGCACAGGUGAGAGCUAAUAGGAGCAAAACAGACAAAAGGUGUGUUCCAAGAGGCUAGGAUACAGCUCUUUCUUUUUGGCUUUCUAGGGUCGCACCUGAGGCAUAUGGAAGUUCCUAGGCUAGGUGUUGAAUCUGAGCUACAGCUGCUGGCCUACACCACAGUCACAGCAAUGCCAGAUCCAAGUUGUGUCUGUGACCUACACCACAGCUCAUGGCAACACCCAAUCUUUUAACCCACUGAGUAGGACCAGGGAUUGAACUUGCAUGCUCACAGAUACUGGUUGGGUUUGUUACCACUGAGCCACAAUGGGAACUCCUAGGAUACAACUCUUUAAAUUUCUCUUAAGGGUGGAUUUUUCUAAGAAACUCUAGUUGCGAAAAUCAAGUGGUUCCAGCUGUGAGGGGAAGAGCUUCAAGUGCCACAAAAAUACAUUUAGUCACUUCUAACAUUGCAGACCCAAGGUCAUGUAAAACACUUUUCUGCAUUAUCGGGUAAAUUUUCACAUUUAGUAAAUAAAUCUAAUCUAGGGAUAUCACCUGAGCAAUUCUCAAAUAUAACUUAUAUUAGCAUUAUAUAGGGAUGGAGAAGUAGAAAAAAUGUGUCCUUUCCUUUCUGAUUAAUAAUACUGAUUGUUCUCAUGCACAUGUCUAAUAAUAGAACUUUGGAUUGUGGCUCUUGCUUUUGUUUCCAGCAAAAAGAGAAAAGGAACAAUGUAACUAAAGUAUCAUGUGAAAUUUCAGAUGAGUGGGAUAAUCUGUGUUGUUGGAAAUUAACAUUAUUCUGUUCAUGGGAAGGAUCUUUGGGCUGAAGGUUAGCCUGGUAUGAUAGUUCAUGUUAUAUGUCAACUUGGCUGAUUACGGUGCCAAAUUUGGUAUUUCUUUGGUCAAACACAAGCCUGGAUGUUGCUGUGAAAGUAUCUGGGGCAUGUAAUUAAUAUUUAUAUCAGUAGACUUUGAAUAAAGCAGGCUAUCCUCCAUAAAAUAAGUGGGGAUCGUUGAAUCAGUAAAAGGCUUUAAGAGCAAAGACUG